ensembl:lncRNA
ACCUCAGGACCCCUCAGGAUCUAGCACUGCAUGGACACAUGGGUUUGGUGGAUUUGAGGGGGGCGCUAUAGAGCCAGUUGCGAAGAGAACAGUCCUGCCAACAGACUGGGUGGAAUGAGAUUCAGAGAGAGCCCGCCAUAGACAAGCCACUGUUUCAUUCUGAAACUAAACAGGAACAUGAAGAGCUGAGGUUGAAGUCAAAAAGAGUCCAGCUUGAAGACACGCUCCCACACAGACCCACUCACCAAGGACAACAGUGAUUACAGUUCUGUCUUUACAGUCAACACUGUAACAUCAUUCAUAAAUACAGCCCCAGAUGCUUCACAUGUUCAACCAGUGGUAAUAAGGACUGCAAAACCGAUUAGGACAACACCACAGUAAAAUCCAGCACACCUUAUCUGUCAGACAUAAACUUAUUUCUGAAAUGUGACAGUCUUGGCUAAAGCAAAGGAUAUCCUCUGUGGCCUGUCAUGUUCGGAAGUGAAGGACAUCUCAACUCUGGAAGAGAAGUAGCAGGUGGAACAUCCAGAGAAUUCUACCCCUAGGACCAUAAGAAUUGUGGCAGUGCCAAAGAAGGAGUUGGUACAUCGUAAUCACUGACAGACUGACAAGUACAGCUUCUAUUAAGGAGGCCAGUCCCCAGGCAGCGGUUAACACACAGAAUUGUAAGCUUGUGGAUGGUCACGAAGAGGUCCAGAAUCAGAGCAUUUGUACAUUUUUGGUGACAAAGUUUUGAUGCUGCAAUCAAACGUACUGGAACAAAACAAACCCCUACUUUCUGAAUGACUGAAAAUCCCUAUAAAAUGUUGUUUGUGUCCAACAUGUGACUAUACAUUUACCUGUGACUGCUUACUUAAAAUAUGUAACAAUUAUCUAUUUCCUCUGGUGCAUUUUAAAUAUAUACAUUACAGAAUGUUUGACUACUGUCAAACACUGCAGAAGACUACUUCUUGCAGAUUGUGUCAUGCAGUGUUAUAUGGCACUGUUUUGCUUUUGAGGAUUUUAGUAUCAACAGGCUAUGUGAAUUGCAAUGAAAAUCUUGUCCUAACAUUUUGUGAAUGGUUUCUGUUUGAAACAGACAUAGAACAUGCAUGAAUAAGUAGCCCUUUGAAUACUUAAUGAUGCUUUCAAUUUUUAUGUCCAAUGUAAAUAAUAUCAUAUGGCUAGCUAUGAUCUAUGGGGGUCUGCUUUACAGAAGGAACUGAUACUGUAGCCUCCAUUUUGAGUUGAUGUUAUAUUUUGUUCUUAGGCUUAAAUGACUUAAGUACUUGUUUUUCUUCAAAGACUGUAUGAAGUUUACCCUGUCUUUAAAGGUUUACUGUGUAAAAGAAAAAACAAAGCCAUGUUGUAGGAGUCAACACUAUGCCUACUUUAAGUUAUUGAACACUUUGUACUCCAAAGUUGAAAAAAAAAAGAUAUAUUUUUUUCUCUAUAUAUUUUUGAUAAAUUGUUAAGUCACAUCUGGGAAAUGAACAUGGAUACUGUUCAUCUACAGUGUGAGUAUGGUGGAUAUGUAAAGAAAUUGCAUUAAAAGCCAAUGUAAUGUUUUGCCACAGAAUAUUUUAACUUUGGAUUGUAAAUGUAUUUAUAUUAGGUUAUUCAAAAUGCCAUCACAGCAUCAUUCAACAUCAUCUAUGAUGGUUUCUGGUUUUGAAAAAACCUAUGUAUGGACAAGUGACUGUCACUAAUGAAAUGCUGGUAUUCAAAAAGUACUGUCAUGUUGUUCUCACUUUCACACAACCACUGUUGUUCACCAAGAAAGUGUGUAGGUGUGAAAGCCUUAAAUCUUCUUGCUGCCAAAGUUUUGUCAUUGGUGUGAGGGAUUCGGGCAAGUAUUUAAGUUGCCAUUGGUCACUAAACCCCAUUGUUUUGGGCAGUGUUCUCGUUCAUUUCACGUGAUUUCGUUGUAUUGCAUUUGAGGCCUUAAUUAUUGUAUUGAUAUUAUUAUUGUAAUUAUUGGCACUUAUUGCUUGUGUUUUUACAUUUUAUUUAUGUGUUAUUAAUGUGUUUGUUUAUCAUAUGAUAGUCUGCAAUAAUACUAAUUGGAGUUGGAUACUCUGAAAAGCCUUAGAGUAAAUAUUAUAUUUUUCUCUUCAGCAAGAGGACAGCUUAUAUAUUGAAAAUAAUUACGUUACCUGUUAACAGAUGAAUAUAUAUAUAUAUUUUUGUUUAUUUAUGAGGUGUAUAUUUGUGGAAAGAGACAGUAUUUGCAUCGUGUUUUAAUGUAUCAUACUAUAUACUGUUAAACAUGCUGUUUUCCUGUUAAAAUAGCAUUUUGUCACUACUAAUCAGUGGCUCAGGAAGAUCUCAUUUAUAUUGAGUAUUACUGAGACUUAUGUCAACAAAAUUGUAACUAUGUAUUUUUCAUGGUGAAGGGGAAUAACAGCCUAAUCACUAUCUAAAACUGGGCAGGUGGGUAGGAAAAAAGGUUGUACAAAGGUGGACAAUUUCAGCGAGAUUUAUUGAGCAGCAAACUGACAGUGUAUGGGUUGUGUCUAACCAAUGGGUAAAUUGGUGAGUCAGAAUAUUUGUUAAUUUAUUGGGUUGAUAUUUUAAUCAUAUCGAAAUUUGAAUUCUGUUCUCAUACCAUUAGUUUGAAUUGUACUCAUUUGUCAGUCUAGUCAAGUGCACAUUAUACUAAUGCCCUGCUGGUACUGUAUCCAGUCAUGAAUACUUUUUUUAAAUUGAAAUACAACCUGAAUUAAAGCAGGUGAUGUGUUGAUUUAAAUUGGAUUUCCGUAACCAUUGUGUGAAGCACCUGUUGAAAAAAGUAAAUAUUUUGUUUGGGGGUUGAAAAUGGUUAGGUCUACUGAUUUUCCCUACAUUACUUUGUGCUUUUUCCAAGACACUGUGUGACCCAUAAGGCUGACCAGGUUACAGCGUUGGUUAACCAAUGUUGUGAAGCGGAAACCUCCAGAAUGUUCAGUGAGGACACUCCAUGUGACAUUGAACACUUUGUCAAUGAAAUGUGCUUUACCAAUAUUGUGGUCCAAAUUGUUAUGUUACUGUCAUUGUAGAUGACUUACAUUUCAGCAAAUAUGGGUGUACCAAAAUUGUUGUAAUUCUUCCCUUGUUCUUAUUUUGCUGAUAUAUCUGCCUAUGUUUUACCUUUGGGUUUUCGUCAUCGUGUGCUGGUGUGAAUGUAUAGAAUAAAAGUCUACCUUCCAUCUGCUUAUAUACUUGUAUUUUGUGUGACAAUAUUGUUUUGUUGUACCCCUGUCGCUCUUAUUAAUUUCAGCAUAUAGCAAGAACUACAUUUGUGAAUAAUUGUAUUUGUAUUUGCAGUCCUUCACAAAAUCAUGUCAGACAAAAACAUAAAGCAUAUGUGUAACAACAAAUCCAUCAUUUUAGGGGGAAUUUUCAUGUCUUCUAUGUAGUUUUAUUUUACAGGAAAAGUCUACUGUACACAAUCAUAUACAAAAAAAAAGAAUAUCAGAAAGAUAAUAAACUUCAAGUUUAAAUGUCUACUAUGCCCAUUGUUAACGGACAAAAAUGCUGACUCAGUGUGUCUCACACUAGGAAAAGUCUACUGUACACAAUCAUAUACAAAAAAAAAGAAAAAAGAAUAUCAGAAAGAUAAUAAACUUCAAGUUCAAAUGUCUACUAUGCCCAUUGGUAACAGACAAAAAUGCUGACUCAGUGUGUCUCACAAAAACGACCUGGAUAGCAAGAAAGGUUAGGUUAGAGAGAUACGUACAUACUGCAGACUCUAUUCCUGUAGCUGGAAGUGUGGUUCAUGAAGGACGUAUUGACUGAAGAAUUACCAAUCCUCUGCCUGAGGUCCUGUUUCAUAUCCAAUUGUCUUCACUACUUUAAAAACAGACAUAGUAAAACUCAGUCUAGGCAGUUUAACAGUUCCAACAAAAAGUAUCCAAUAACAGAAUCAGAAUUGUUUUUAUUGCCAAGUAAGUUUACACCUACCAGGAAAGUGUUUUGGCAUAUUGGUGCUUACAAUAAACAUAAUACGUACUACACAUAAGAAAAACAAUAUAUAAAAUUAAAUAUAUAAAAAAGUAAAAAAUAUUAAGAGAUAAUAAAAUAUUAAAAGAUAUUUACAAAAUAUAAGUGGAGGGGC